rnacentral:rRNA from 1 species
GGAAGUAAAAGUCGUAAACAAGGUUUCCGUAGGUGAACCUGCGGAAGGAUCAUUACAGUAUUCUUUUGCCAGCGCUUAACUGCGCGGCGAAAAACCUUACACACAGUGUCUUUUUGAUACAGAACUCUUGCUUUGGUUUGGCCUAGAGAUAGGUUGGGCCAGAGGUUUAACAAUACGCAAUUUAAUUAUUUUUACAGUUAGUCAAAUUUUGAAUUAAUCUUCAAAACUUUCAACAACGGAUCUCUUGGUUCUCGCAUCGAUGAAGAACGCAGCGAAAUGCGAUAAGUAAUAUGAAUUGCAGAUUUUCGUGAAUCAUCGAAUCUUUGAACGCACAUUGCGCCCUCUGGUAUUCCAGAGGGCAUGCCUGUUUGAGCGUCAUUUCUCUCUCAAACCCCCGGGUUUGGUAUUGAGUGAUACUCUUAGUCGGACUAGGCGUUUGCUUGAAAAGUAUUGGCAUGGGUAGUACUAGUUAGUGCUGUCGACCUCUCAAUGUAUUAGGUUUAUCCAACUCGUUGAAUGGUGUGGCGGGAUAUUUCUGGUAUUGUUGGCCCGGCCUUACAACAACCAAACAAGUUUGACCUCAAAUCAGGUAGGAAUACCCGCUGAACUUAAGGAUAUCAAUAAGCGGAGGAAAAGAAACCAACAGGGAUUGCCCCAGUAACG